AACACCUAUAUUUAACCCUACUUAGGUUACGACUGUUGCUUCUUCGGCUUUCACGAUGAGUUUUUUUCGUAAAUCGAAAGAAGAGUUUGACCGUUAGUUUGCUUUUCCCUUACGUCUCAAUAACCACUUUUUAAUUUAAGUUUCAUCGCCCGUGAAAAUGAAAGGAGUGAUGUAUGACUCAAGACAAAUUUAAAAUUGCUCUUUUUUAGUGCAAACUAACCAUUUGUCGAAUCUCUAAAUGUUGAUCGGCCAAUAUUAUUUACAUUUACUUGUGAGUCUAUUUUGUUAGGCCUCGAUCUUCAAAGCCUCUCGACACUCGUAAGUGAGGCGGACCAAAGUGGCCGGGUAUUCUGCUGUUUAGCCAGGAUUGAAGCACUCAUACUUGUUUAGUAUCUCACAAAAACUGUAAGGAAUAAGAAAAAUUUGCGGGGUUUGAUGAGGACUAAAUUCAUUAUUUUCAAUCAAUGCUAAGACGAAUGUAACGCAAGGGUUGUGUUCCUCUGUUCUUUUGCUGUAAGGACGCUAGCACUUCGUGAGUUCUAAUUUCUGAUUGGGCAGCAUUGACUUCUAGUUCUUUGAUCUUGUUUCUUCAGCAAGAGCUCAAAAGCCAGAUUGUGUUUUCCCUUGUGAGUAAACUGUAGCCUAGUUUUUCAUAAGAUUGGAAAAUGUACUGGCAAGAAAACAUAUAUAUUACAGUUGUUAUACACACAGUUGCCUCUAAAGUAGCAAAGCUGAAAGAGGCUUUAAGUCAUUGAGAGCUUGAACCUUUAGGAGUUAAGCAAAAAUAGGGGGAAACAGGGGGGAAAAUUAGUGGUCACUGCUAUUCACCUGUGGCAAGAGGACAGUUGACUAAGAUAUUGUACACCUAAUUCACAACAUACUUAUAGCAGUUGUUGCAUGUACUCUGACUCAAAGGUUAAAUUGACUCUUGGUGAUUCAUACCUUCCCUGGGAGUUCAAGUUAUUUGGAGUUGAGCAAAUAAUUGAAAGUAAGUGAGAAAUUAGUGUCCAGUGUCAUUCAUGGGCACAGUUUGUUAUAUUUCUAAAUGAUGUUGUGAAUUGGAAUAUAAUCACAUUAAAACAAAGGAAACCACCAAGAGAAGUCCAAGUGCUGUCAUGUAAAUUUGAUGGGUUUCAGAAAGAUAAAUUGAAUGUCGAAUUACUGCUACAGAGUUCAUGCCACUUUCACAGCUGCUUAAGUUCAGUAUUUUGGGUUGUAGAAGUACUGAAUUGUAUUUGAUGAGCAUGAUGAGAAAUUUUUGUUCAAGUUAUCAAUAGUCAACUUGUAUUCAAAUAUGACCUUAAGGGAGACAAAAACUCUUCCUGCCUUGGGCCAUUUUUCUUAUCUGAUCCAUGACAGUGAAAGUAUGCCUUACCUUCUAUUGCUUUACAAGCAUAGUAUUUCACACAGUAUGUUAAGUAAGUAAAUCAAUGAAAAUUACAUUUUGUUGCUGUUAUUAAAUUGCAACAGAUUUACUGUUGCUGUGAAAAAUUGGUUCAGGAAGGAGCAAUAAAACAUUGAAUUGUAUCCUAGUUACUUUAUUACCCCUGGUAAUUGGUUACCCAAUUAAUCCAAUUUUGUUCAUUUAAAGUUGGAAGUGACUGAUCUUGAUGUUAAACUUUACUGAUAGCCUGGAUACCUGCAAGAUUCUUUGCCAAAACUAUUGAAGGAUUUUCUCCCAAGGAAAAUGUAUGCACUUAAUCAAUAAGGUAAUAUUGAAUUUGGGGAUAGAAGAAUGCCGUGAGACUGACUGUAAUUCUGAGGAAGAAAGCCAACAAGUCAGCUCUGUAAAGAGUGCAGCCAAAGAGUUGAACUUGGGGACAAUAAAGAAACAAUUAACUGAGUAGCAUGGUGGAAAUCUUGAAGCACCAGAUCACAAAUCCUUUAGCCCAACAACUUCAUCACCCUCUACAAUUGUUGAAAAAAAGAGAUGAUAAACUUGUGAGUGUAAGCUUGAUGACUGAAGUGAAAGAGUACAGUGAAGCUUUUUACAUCAAACAUCCAAAAAGGAGUUGAACCUGGGACUCAAUUAAAAUGAGCCAAAAGUUCGAUUGGGCUACUCCUGUGCCAUUAGAAACUUCAAAUAAGCAAUGGAUGCACCCUCAAAUCUAAUGAUAUUUAUCUGAAGGACACACAUUUCUUAGCUCUCAAUGUUUUAGACUUGAAUAUGAUGUUAUUAAAAUGAAAUUUGCCAAAUAAGGUAUCUAAGUAUAGAGCGGACAUUUUACCUGAACUGUACACCCCACCCUCCAUGGGUAUAGUAAUUCACUUUGGUGGCAAAAUGCUGAUCUUUUACUCCUGUAAGAAAAAAAAGUGUUUUCUUUGCCAACUUCUGGCUAAAGAAAGAAAACAAGAAGA